UACGGAGGGAGCUAGCGUUGUUCGGAAUUACUGGGCGUAAAGAGCGCGCAGGCGGUCGUUCAAGUCGAGUGUGAAAGCCCCCGGCUCAACUGGGGAGGGUCACUCGAUACUGAUCGACUCGAAGGCAGGAGAGGGAAGUGGAAUUCCCGGUGUAGUGGUGAAAUGCGUAGAUAUCGGGAGGAACACCAGUGGCGAAGGCGACUUCCUGGCCUGUUCUUGACGCUGAGGCGCGAAAGCUAGGGGAGCAAACGGG
rnacentral:rRNA from 1 species